UAUCGGCCGAUACCGAUGCUGAGUAUCAGAUCGGUACAUCCCUGGUUACCAGUCAGGCCUCCCCUUUAGCUUAUGUACUACCAAGCCCGGAGCUGCUAAGGCUAGCCAACAUAAACACCAGAGAACUCCCAACUUCACAAUGGAGCCAGAAAUCUGCAAAGAGGUGGAUCAGCCAUUCCACACUGUACCAGACAGACAGCAGGAUGACCCGGAUUGUUUCCAGGAAGAAAUUCAUAAUGGAUCUAGGAAGGAAGAGGGAAAAAGAAACAUAAUAACAUGGGAUAAACAAGUGGACUAUCUUCCUACAGUGUUUCAAAGCUGAGAUGGACUGCCUGACCGCAAAGAAAGACCUCCACUGACAAAUAUUGAAGGCCCUGGAAAACUGCAGCCUUUUCUCACACAGUUUCCCAAGACGGUCACUGUUUCAAAGUACACAGUUAUAGAGUCAUAAAUUCUUGAUGCGACUUGGGUGAAGGAUACAGCACCUACACGUUGGUACCAUUAUCUAUCCUUUAAGGAGACUGUGAAGUAAAUAUGAGAGUUAACUAUAGUUAUAUAGUAAAACUGAAAAGUAAAGGCAGACUGUGAAAGCCAAUAAACAUUAAUGAUCACAGACUUUAUUAAUUCAAGGAUUUAAUUAAUGUGAUUCAAUCCUAUAUCCCACGAGUGUCGCAAACGAAAGAGCGAUCUGUGCUCCAAUACAUAGCAGACAACAAAAGACAUGCUGAACUUUGUGUUAGGAUGUCAUGAGGCAUCAUCAUUUACUAUGGCACACUAUAGGCUGAUGUCAACCACAACAUUAGUUUUAAAUGCAAAAGGGUGACAGGAACAAAUUUGAGCAUUUAAAAAUAAAAAGCAGCAUAUGAUGGAACAUUUAAAUUGAAGAUAUAUAAUGUCAGGCUGCCAUAUGGAUUUGUCAGACCAACGAGACAGGUAGCACACUUGUAUUUCUGUUGAAACAACGCUCAUAUAAUCAAUUUUUUUCUUCUGACACAUGGUUACGGCCUAGUUUACCUACAAGUUUAAACUUCUCCCAUCAGUUAACCACAGCGCAUGUUGUUCCUGUGCACUUGAUGUGCGCCAGCUCGCACUGCUAACGAUUCCUUAUUGAGAUGUUUUCCCCAGACUUUUUGUUAGCUUAACAAAUGCACACUGGCUGACAAAAAAUUUAAUUAAAACAAAGGCUUGACUGGAAAAGUCUCAGUUGACUGACAGGCCACUCAACUAUUAGAGGGCAAC